UACGGGGGGAGCAAGCGUUGUUCGGAUUUACUGGGCGUAAAGUGCGCGUAGGCGGCCACCGCAAGUCGACUGUGAAAUCUCCGGGCUUAACCCGGAAAGGUCAGCCGAUACUGCGGGGCUAGAGUGCAGAAGGGGCAACUGGAAUUCUCGGUGUAGCGGUGAAAUGCGUAGAUAUCGAGAGGAACACCUGCGGCGAAGGCGGGUUGCUGGGCUGACACUGACGCUGAUGCGCGAAAGCUAGGGGAGCGAACGGG
rnacentral:rRNA from 1 species